GAGGAUAUAGCUCAGAGGUAGAGUGCUUGCUUAGCAUGCACGAGGUCCUGGGUUCGAUCCCUAGUAUCUCCA
rfam:Camelus ferus unplaced genomic scaffold scaffold1683, whole genome shotgun sequence.